rnacentral:lncRNA from 1 species
GACGUCAAUUAGACGCAGGGCGGAGGAUCUUUCUAUAUAUAAACUCUUCUUUGUCUCGCUUUCUUUUUCCGACUCACUUCGUCUUCUGCUUUCCGGAAACGUCUAAUCUCCCACGAACGUUCUCUCUCUCUCUCUCUCUCUAGGUAAAAUGGCUACCUUUGGUGCGACGGCGAAUACUAAUCCUAACAAAUCCUUUGAGGUAAUUCUUCUGUGGCCGUUGUUUGAUUUAGACUGAGAGAUCGAAGAGCUUUCUCUUGGCUUAGGGGAGUGUGUAAACUAAUGACCAAAUUGGAUUCUCACAAAGUUUGCUCCUUUCUUUAUUGCUGCGAAAACCCUUUUUUAACUGUCUUGCUUUGUAGCUGUAACUCGUGUUCUUGAGACUUUUGUUUCUAUUAAAGUUCCAAUCUUUUUAUACUUGUACUACAAAUUUCACAUAAUGGUUUCUUUUUUUCGUGCAGGUUACUCCAUCACCCGCAGAUUCUAUCUCCAGCUUAAGUUUUAGCCCAAGAGCCGAUAUUCUUGUCGCCACCUCUUGGGACAAUCAGGUUUUAUUCUUUCCCCUCCUUUCUUUUGUUUCUCCUCUAUUCGUAUCCUAGUGUUUGAAUUUGCUUCGUCUCUCGUUAUAGGUGCGGUGUUGGGAAAUAUCCCGUAGUGGAGCCUCUCUAGCAAGUGCUCCUAAAGCAUCUAUAUCUCAUGAUCAGCCGGUAAUUUCUUGUUGCUUCCUAUCUAUCUUUCUUUAUCUUGCUUUCCCUUUUACUUAUAAUCUCAUGAUUGUGUAUAUCUUUUCUUGUGUUUAAGGUCUUGUGCUCUGCUUGGAAAGAUGAUGGAACCACUGUCUUUAGUGGAGGUUGUGAUAAGCAAGCCAAAAUGUGGCCCUUGUUGUCCGGCGGUCAACCUGUUACUGUUGCUAUGCACGAUGCUCCUAUUGUUGACAUGGCCUGGAUCCCUGGAAUGAAUCUCCUUGUUACUGGAAGCUGGGAUAAAACAUUGAGGUAAAGAUUGAUUUGUUAAUGUCUAUUACGAAAUCAAACAAAUGAUAGAAUUGCCUGACUGAUAAUAAAACGAAUGUAUGUUGGUUUCCUUUCCAGAUAUUGGGACACAAGGCAGCAAACUCCUGUGCAUACCCAACAGCUUCCAGAUAAAUGCUAUGCUUUGUCUGUGAAACACCCUCUGAUGGUUGUCGGAACUGCAGAUAGGAAUCUUAUUGUCUUCAACUUGCAAAAUCCUCAGGUUUGUUUUCUGUUUUACGACUUUUGUGCGUGAUCUCUGGGUGCUAACUAAGACUGCUGAUCAUCAAAUAGAUGAUCAAUUUAGCAACAGAUGGAUCAAUUGAAUAUGCAUGUAUAGUCUAUCCUACGAAUAACUACUCUGGUGGCUCAUGAAAGCGUUUCGACCAUCUGAUUUACUAUUCCACUUGUGUAUUGAACUUUUGAUUAAUUUGGUAAACUGCAGACUGAGUUCAAGAGAAUCGUGUCACCACUGAAGUACCAGACGAGGUGUGUUACUGCCUUCCCUGAUCAGCAAGGAUUUUUGGUAUGUCUUCUUAUAUUAUCCUUUUCGAUUGUGGUUUGGUUAAUUCGAUGGCACAGGACAUUGAUCUCACGUGCUUGUAAUUAUACUAAACGUUAUCCUUUUCAAGCUUGAGAAGUUUCUGUUGGUUAUUCUAGUAACAAAUUAAGUAUAGUAGUGUUGGAAGUUGUUUCAUGAGUCACAUCUUAUCUAGAUCACAGAAACUGUCAAGUAUAUAACCAGAUCCGAUGCUCUCUCUAUAUAGGUUGGUUCAAUUGAAGGACGAGUUGGUGUCCAUCAUUUGGAUGAUUCUCAACAGAACAAGAACUUCACAUUCAAAUGCCACAGAGAUGGGAAUGAGAUCUAUUCUGUCAACGCUCUGAACUUCCACCCGGUAAGCUCUCUAUGACUCAGUAGUCUUAAAGCUUCAGCACCAUGAAAGUAUAUUGUACAGAUGUUAAUUGUUUGAGUUGUGUAAUAUGAAGGUACAAGGAACUUUUGCCACUGCUGGCUCAGAUGGGGCUUUCAAUUUCUGGGACAAGGAUAGUAAACAAAGACUCAAGGUAAUAUCAUGUUGCUUAUGUGCUUUUCAUUUAACUAUUGUGUCUUCUAUAUAACAUAAUAUCUAACUGUUGAGUGCAUUGUUCACUGAUGAAUGUCAGGCCAUGUCAAGGUGCAGUCAGCCAAUUCCUUGCAGUUCGUUUAACCACGACGGGUCGAUAUAUGCAUAUGCGGUAUGCUACAUCUUCUUUGUUUUCACUUUAUUAUAUUGAUGUUAAAUCUGGAAAAUCAAAAGUGUAUUUUUAUCAUAAUAUAGAAAUGACUUUGGAGAAUAUAAGAGUAGAAAGUAAUGUUCUUUUGAACAUUUCUGUAUUGUAGUCGUGCUAUGACUGGAGCAAAGGUGCAGAGAAUCACAACCCAGCAACUGCGAAAAGCAGCAUCUUCUUGCACCUGCCACAGGUGUGUUUAGUGUGCAACUCUCAACUCAUAAAAUCUGCCUCAUUCCAAACAUUAACUAUUAGUAGUUAGUGUGUACUAAUUUUGUAUGAAUGAACUUGCAGGAAAGUGAGGUCAAGGCAAAGCCAAGAGUAACGACCGGCAGGAAAUGAGAUUAGCUAAUUGCUUUCAGUGAGAGAGGAUAUCUUCCUCCCUUAUAGUGGUGGAUGAUGCUUUUAGCUGUCUUGAUAUCGUUUUAAUGUAGAGUCUCUUUCUUUCCCAUCAAGUAAAUUAUCUGUCUGUCUUGGAUGUUUCUCCUUUUGGCUCGGUUUGGAAUUGUGUUUGUCUAAGUACUACUACCACCCUCCGAAACAUAAUGAAACGCUUCUAGAACUCUUAUUAUAUUAAUUAUUAUACAGUUGAUAAAUUUGAGUAGUAUUAUGAUUAAAUGGACAACAUCAUACGCAUAUUGCAUAGAAUAUACACAUGUUUUUUCUUUUGUGAAAAAAAAAAAACUAUAAUCCUUGAACGGAGAGAGCAAGAAUAAAGUAUCGAAAUAUGGUUAUGGCUAUGGUUAAUAUAGCAAAAGAAUACAGAGAGAGAGAGAAAAGAAAAACAAAAACAAAUGGGAGUUGAUUAGUGGAAGCGGGAGUAAAGCGAAGGACCUGGACUUUGUCCCAUUGCAAAAACUCCCGCUCCUUCACUACUACAACUGCUAAUCAUCUUCACACUCUCUCUGAUAUAAAACGCUUGCAAACUUCAGGCUCCACCUGCAAACAAGGAGAGUUAGAAGCUGUUGUAGUGUUGUGAUCGCCACUGGUGUUCACACUCUCUGGCAAAGCUGAUCAUUUAGUAGACAGCACAAACCAAGAAUGCCAUUUCCAACAAGUGCUGACUGCUAUAGGAAACUUCUGCAACUGCUCCAUCGCCAUAGGUAUGAUCAUUGGGAUCGUUGUGAUGUAUCCUAUUCAACACCGUGCUUAUAAAAAUGGUAUAGACUAUCUUCUUGUGCUUCUCAUUGGAGGUAUCUCUAUUGCAAUGCCAACUGUUCUCUCUGUCACAAUGGCUAUUGGAUCUCACCAUCUCUCUCAACAAGGAGCUAUCACAAAGAGGAUGACAUCAAUUGAAGAAAUGGAUGGGAUGGAUGUUUUGAGUAGUGACAAGAUUGGAACUCUUAUACUCAACAAGCUUACUGUUGGCAAGAGUAUGGUUGAGGUUUUUGUCAAAGAUUUGGACAAGAAACAGUUCUUGUGAAUGCAUCAAGAGCCUCUAGAGUUGAGAAUCAGUAUGCUUGUAUUGUAGGAAUGCAUGGAGCUCCCAGUGAAGCAAGAGAAGGUAUCACUGAAGUCCAUUUCUUUCCUUUUAACCCUGUAGAUAUAAGCGUACUGCUACCACUUACACUGAUGCUAAUGGAAACUGGCACCGUGUCAGCAAAGGCGCUUCAGAACAGGUAAUAAAUGCAUAAACUUAAGUUCAUCAUCAGAUAUGCACUAAGUGGUAGAGCUUGGGAUAAUGUCAUUGAGAACAAGGUGAGGUUAACAAGAACACUAGUCCUUCUGCAGUAGUACUGUUUCUAACUUUGUUCCUUUUGUUUUAGACCGCUUUCACUUCAAAGAAAGACUAUGGAAAGGGAGAGAGAGAAGAACAGUUGGUACAAGCUCAACGUACCCUUCAUGGAUUGCAACCUGCUCAACCCUCAGAGAUGUUCAACGACAAGAGCACUUAUAGAGAACUUUCAGAGAUAGCAGAUCAAGCCAAGAGACGAGCUGAAGUUGCAGGGCAAGGCUCUAAGCAACUGAUUAAUCCAUAACAUUUCUGUUCCUAAGAAUAUGACCUUGGCAUUAUUACUAUUGUAAUUUUUCAGGAUAAGAGAGCGUCAUCCAUUGAAGUCAGCAGUGAAGCAGAAGGGAGUUGACAUAGAGGCUAUCCAGCAACACUACACCCUGUGAUUUUCAGAAACAAGUGGUUUCUUAGUUUAGUUUAGAACCAAAUCCACAAGAGUAUUUGAAUAAUAAACCACCACCUUCAUCAUUAGAAAAAUACUGCAAAAAAGAACAAAAAUAAUGUUUCUCUGACUAGCAGUGGCUGUUGGCUGCUUUAUUUGUUUUGAGAUAUUCUUGUUUUAUUGCCUUUACAAAACUAAUAAGAUUUCACAUUACAAAUUUUAUAAAAUAGCACAAGGAUUGAGAUAUGAGGACCAAAACAAAUUCUGAUACAGAUCAACAACCAAAACAAAUUAACAGAUAGCAAUAUCUUUUAGGGAUCCCUCCCUUGUUAGAAAUGUAUAAUGACUAGUCUACUAAACUCUCAGGUUACUUCAUCUGAGUAGAUGAUGAUGAGUUACUGAUGCAGCUUUUGUCUGGUUUGGCUUUGCAUGGUCAAGAUACCAGAGAGCUCCUUCAGCUGCAUGCUCAGCAGCAGCUUUCUUCUUGUGUUUGGGAUCACCAAAACAUUCCAAAACAGUUGUUCCUGAAGAAUCUCUAAUCUCAACCACAACUUUGUAUGUAAACCUUGACCCAAAAACAAUAUAAACCAAGUUCCAUGCAAAUUAAAAGGUUGUGACUAGGAGCAAGGUGCAGGUAAGUUAUGUGUGACUUACAAUCUCAUAUGACAAGGUCCAUCAACAUUGCAGCAAUCAUAAACAGGAGGUUUCCAUCUCUUGGAAAUACACAUUUCGUGUAACAAUGAUUUUGCUGAACCUUUCUUAGAUUCAUCUGGACCACAAGCGUUUACACAAAGUAACAAAUCUCAGCAUGAGAAAAAAAAACAAAACCUAAAAGUUAAAACCAGUCACUUUAAUGUGAUGAACCUAAAAGAUAAAACAAGAAGAUGACUAAGGGAGGUGAAUGAAGAAAAGGUAACACCUUUAGAUAUUGAUUUGGCAUCUUCUACAGGUUUGAGAACAGGGUGAUUCUCUUGUGUGGUGCUAACGCUUCUUGUGCUAUUAGGAUCGAUCUGAAUGUUAGAGAAGGAAGACUUGACAUUGUCUUCUUCAAGCCUCAUCUCUUGGUAUCUCUGCUUUGGCACAGUACCUGGCACCAUCAUUGUUCUUGGCUUCUGACAAAACAAUUGAAAGAAACUAAGAUGUAUCACUGAUUCCGACAGAGAUUUAUGUUUUUUUUUCAAAGAAAACGUCUUUGGUAUUAAAAAAAGAAUAGCCAAAUCAACGAGGAACGUUACAGAACAAUCGAAUUUGGAAGUAAAAUUGAAUGAAGAAAGUAUAUAUUUAUAUUUACCAGAGAGGAGUGUGUUGGGGGGAUAGAAGAAGGAUCCAAAGGAGGAAUGUCUUUGAGACUGAUGAUGAUAGAUCUUCUUCUUGAUGUGGUUUUCUGAUCCUCCUCCAUCUUCUCUCUCUCAUAACUCAAUUCGUCAAGUUUCUCGCUUAGGGAAUCGAACAAACGGAUAAGGUUAAUUAAUUACAACUCUUUCUCUUUCUCUCAGAGUUUUGUCUUCUUAUGUUUGGUCCCCAAAGUCAAAAGCUUUUGUCUAUUUUUUUUUGUGUUUGGUCAGAAAGUCAAAAACCUAAUUAAUUGUACUUACCAAACUACUUGAUACGAUUACCAAAAAAAAAACAGAUAAAAAGUGGAAUUUUGCACAAGAACACCAACAACAUUCAAUUCAAAAUGAAAAGAUUACAAUAAAGGAAAUGAAAAUGUGUUUUUAUAAAAUUCUCAAUGAUCCGCCGAGGUCUAGUGGUAGAAGAGGGAUGAGUGAGUGCAACACAUCGGUUAUAAGUGGUCUGUAACUUGGCUCUGGCUGCACACACAACACUGCCACCGCUGCUACCUGAUAAAGAUGCUUCAAAUCCAUGGUUCCUUUGAUUGCAGGAUCCAAUAUGUUUGGCAGAUUAGCUCUGUCACUCAGCUUUGGUACAGCCUGUUCAACAAAUAGAUAUCUUAAAAAAGCCAAAGAGGAUUUAAAGCACAUUAUCUUGAAAGUUUGUACGUACCCAAGUGACAACGGAUUCUGGUUCAGUUGAUGGUUUCUCCACUACUGAUCUCUUCCCCAGGAGAAGUUCUAGGAGAAUCACCCCAAAUGAGUAUACAUCAUUCUUGUCUGUUACUUUCCCUUUAAAAAGAUGAAAACACACAAAGAGACAAUUUUGAGCAACAGAUAAAGAAAAAUGUGAGAGACUAGUUGUUUAGUUAUUACCAUCAAGAAGAUACUCAGAAGGUCUGUUCAGAUUUUUGUUCUGAGUCAUCAACACAGUUGCAUACCCAAAAUCUGAUAUCUGAAGAGAGAAGCAAACAUAUAUCAUUACAAGAAGAAUGUUACAUUAUUAUUAUACAUAUCAAGCUUUUAUCUUUUUACCUUUGCGUUGAAAUCAGAGUCUAGAAGGAUGUUAGACGAUUUCAAAUCUCUGUGAACUACAGGAGGAUGGCAAUGCUCAUGAAGAUACUCUAACCCUCUUUAUUAAAGAAAAAAGAGAAAAAACUUUGUAAGCAUACAAAUGUGCUUGGAGAUUAAAUGAAACUGCUAAUGGAUGAAUGGACUUUACCUUGCUAUAUCGACCGCGAUUUUCAUUCUAAGCUGCCAAGUUAAACCUGAACCUUGACUAGGCCCUUCAAAUAUAUCCAAAAAAAAAAAGUAAGAAAAAAUGUUAAAAGAUUGAACAAAGAGUUCAUAAACUAGGAUCAUCUCCCUUACCAUGCAGCCGACUCUCCAAAGAUCCAUUCUGCAUCAUCUCAUACACAAUACAUCUCGUUUGCCUAUAGACGCUAAACCCCAAAAGGGAGAUUACGUUCUGAUGCUUGAUCUUCGCCAACCAGUCUACCUCAUUCUGCAUUAUAGUUCAACAAAGAAACCAAAAGAGUUAUGAUUCAUUAAAUGAGAUGGUUAAAUACUGUGGAAGGAAGCCGAUCAAAACCUCAAACUGUUUUUCAAUGUCUGUCUCUCCACCAACAUCAAGCUUCUUCACAGUGACAGAAGACUUCCCAUCAAGACAAGCGCUGUAAAGACAUCCACGACCACCUCGGCUCAACACAUUACCAUCGCUAAACUUGUUUGUACCAGACUCCAGCAGCUGGUAUUCAUAGACAGGGAUAGUUCCUUUCGUCACAGAAUCAACCUUGUGUACAACAGGUUUCGCGGAUCCACUACUCUUCACAGAAUCUUCAGAUAAUAAGCAAAGAACCAAAAAAAAGUAAGCGCAACAACACCAAGACGAUUACAUUUGUAAAGGGUAAAAAGGGUUAAGCUUUAACAUUACCGGACUUCCCCUUGAUGCCGUUGAAGCUGUUGUUAUUCAUACUUCGGUACCUCCAUAGCAAGAGGUAGAGAAUCAUCAUGACUGUGAUACAGAGGAGUGUUGAGGAGGCUAUAAGAGCAAUUAGAAUCUUCUUGUUCAGGUCCUGGCGAAUCACCACUUUGACAAUGGGAGGUCCUGAGAGAAAGUGUAUAAUUGAAAAAGGUCAACUUUUUGUUUUAUCAGUGGAAAGUUUCCAUUUUUGUUAUACCAGAAAUAGUAUCAAUUUCAUGUAAAGUCGAUUCCUUUUGGUCUCCUCUAGCACUCAACUAGUAAGACCCAAUCACUCAAAAUCAGUAGCUUGAUUUAGAAUUUUACCUGGGGAUUGAGCUCCUCCGGUUCGAGGAGAAGCCUGAGAGAUAGGGAUUUCUUGGGGAGUAGCAGUAACGAAAACAACGGAGAAGAAGGAGAAGCCCAGAAGAACCCAAAUAGGCAACAGCAAAUGACGAAGGACACACAUUCUUGUUUGGUGUUUCACAAACAUGCAGAGAGAGAGAGAGAGAGAGUGAAACUAUUAUGAAGCUUCUUCCUUUUGAGUUCUUUUAAUGGAGAUGGGAAGAAAUCUUUGAGAUAAUCUUUGUCUGAAGAUGGAGACAAGAGAGGAGGACAGGACACAGUUGGGGUUGGGAAACGGAGAGAGAAAGACAGUGUAUUGGUUUGGUUUUCAUGUGGCAGUUAUCAAAAGGUGUAAAAAGUUGAAACCAAACCCAAAAAAGAGAGUGCUGCCUUGAUGAGAGAGAGAGAGACCGGACGUGGGGUGAUAAGACGUGGAAUUGUGGACUGAUAGAGAAGAUUAAUAUCAUGCUCCAUUCUCUCAAUUAAUUUGUAUUUUACUGUAGAUUACAAACAAAAAUUAACAUCCCAAGGUAAGAUAAUGCUCUGCUUAUAUAGAGAUAGAAAAAAAGGAAUAUAGUAAUCUCUAUAGGUUUGUUUGCAUUGAGGCACAUUACUCCAAAUGAUUCGAUUGGGUCACUGUGCAUAAUUCAAUUCAUGCGGAUUUAGGGACAAGUCAUGCUUGAAGGAACUGAAUCCAAAGAAUAUAUUUUUUCCUUUUUAAAAAAAAUAUUGGAAGAAAGGUCCAAAAGUCUUGAACAUUAUUCAUGUGAACUUUCUAUGUCUGUCCUCUUCAACUUUAAUUGCCCACACAAGUGGUCACAUACACUUACACACAGCUGUACAGUUGACAAUCAGCUCAAAUUAAAACGUUUUUUCCAAAAAUGAACUGAUUGGGCCUUAUAACGAGAUAGUAAGCCUGAACAGGCCCAACGGAUCUUAAAGAGAAGCCUUUCAAGAUGCCAGCAAGACCAAGAAGAUGAAGUAAAACUACUCAUAAAUUCAUCUCUGAGAUAAUAUACAUUGGACUAUAAUUUAACUUUAUUAUCAAACUUCUCACACAACUUUCGUCUAUUUGCCUAUAUAGCCUGCAGUAAUAAACUCUAGCACAACAACUCUUCUCCCCCAAAAUGAUGGAACAGAAAGACCCACAUUAUCCCUUUUGCCAAAAUGAAAAGAACAAAAAGAGAGUUACAGAGAUCAAGAUUCAUUUGUUUAAAACUUGUAAUCAGGGUUGUCACGAAGACCGAGUUUUGAGAGUGAAAGGCAGUAAGAGUCCCAGUCCGUUCGUCUCAUAUACUUCAACAGUUUCUUCCUUCUAUGCACCAUUGCUAUAAGCCCCUUUCUCGAAUGCUUGUCCUAGAUUAGGUUACAUAGGAUACACAAUUAUGUUACAUAAUAGAAAACCGCCUCUACUAGCUUCAGGAAGAUAAAAAAGAGAGGAAUAAAAGCUACCUUUUUAUGUAGAACAGAAGAUAGAUGCUUGAUCUUAGUAGUCAGUUGUGCCACUACAAAGGAAAGACCAUAGAGAUCACUAACCAAUUAUGUAACAAAUAAAAUUAUCUGUGAUUACACCAUUAGAUUAGCCUUGUAUUGAUGGCUAAAGACAAAACAUUGAUCCUUUAGCAGGAUUCAAAUUUACCUUGAACACGUGCAGAACCACAAUCGGAUUCAGCCAUCUUGAACUCUUCCCUGACCUUUGCAAGCUCGAUUUUCAUCUUCUCCGCAGAUGACAUGUUAUCCGGGUGGAAAUACUGCUUUUGAUUUUACACAUAAUCAAUGCCUAAACGCUUAAAGAUUCAAGAAACUAACAAAGAAAAGAAAAGACUUACAGUUUGAACUAGCUCCUCUUUGGGAGGCUCCAGCAAAUACUUAGGAGUAUCACUAAACACGCUGAAAAGAUCCACGUUCUGAACUGCAAACAGCAGAUCAACCUUCCAAUUAAAUCACAACACCAAGAAUAAUUGACAUUCUAAUGAAACAAUCAAUAUCUAAACACUGCAGGAGGCAGGGGAAGUCAGGAACACACGUACAUGCUAGUGAUUUUCUGGCUUCGGCUGCUUUCUUUUCUUGAAUACCAAACCUGAGAUCAUCGAAGGGAAGCCCCUUCCUCGUCCCCUGAGCUGCUUCCUCUUCCACCUCUCUCAGCUUAACAAGCCUCUGGUUCAGCUCCUGCAACGAGAACCAACCUUCUUCUUUCUUCCCCUCUGGUCUAUACCGUCUCAGCAUCUCCCCCAGCUCUUCAGUGUUGUAUCUCUUGAUAAACUCCGACUUCAUCUCCUCCGUCUCAUCUCCCUUCCUCUUCCUCUCUUCAAGCUCCUCCCCAAACACUGAAACAGGCAAACCGACGUUGUUAUCAUUACGUUUCGCCUUCAUGAUCCCCUGAAUGCUCGAUAGAUUAGACCACCUCGUCUCUUGUGGUGGCCUCAUCUGCCUUAAGUUUUGCUUUAGGUUCUCAAAAGACGAGCUUUCGGGUUUGGGUUUAGACAGCACGGUUUGCUUGUAAAGAUCCUGCAAACCCCUCGCCGGAGGAGAUGCUGCUCUUCGCCGGAACUCGUUGAGAUUGCGCCUGAUGUCCUGAAAGUCUCCGCCGGAAAAGGUUUGAGCUUUGGCAUCGAAUCUAGCUUGAGAUUGUUGUUUCAGGCUGCUCUUGAUGCCACUGAAGUAGGAGGAGAUUUUGAGAUCCGACGGUGGUUGUUGAGGAGGCUGUUCGCCGGAUUCGUUCCCGUCUUGAGGAGAUGAGGUGGAGAAGAGAUGAAACAGAGAGGGGUUAGAUUGUAGCCUUUGUUUGCGUCUGGCGAGGUGAAGCGCCGCCAUUGGAGCUGAUGAUCUCGGCGGCUCCAGGUGCUUUAGGGUUUUUUUUGGUGAUGAAUGAUGAUGGAGAGAGGGAGGUGUUCAAGUGGAAAUGAAAGUGAUGGAGUCAGACCGGUUAUCUGUAAACCGGAAAUUAGAAAAUGCGAUUUUGAAAACCGGAUUAGUGGGGGAACGGUUUUUUAACUUUCGGUAAAAGUGAGAAGACAACAAUCAUCAUUACUUUUACUACUGACUUCAGGAAACUAAAAUCCUACGUUUGUGAGGUCAGAGACUCGGAAGGUUCUUAUUCGCUAGCAUCUUCUUUUCAAAAUGCAACAUUUGUUUUUGGUUCAACUAAAGUAUGAUUAAAAUGAUUUCAAUAAAAUGAGGUCGGAGAUGAAUUUAAAACCUACGCUUAUGAAUUAUGAACUAUUGUAGAUGAUAGUAUACAGGCCCAAAAUGUGAUUUAAGAUGCUACUCUUUUGAAUGCUAGCUCCCUGACGAUAAGGUACAUUUUCGAGAGAGAGAGAGAGAGAGGGAGAGACGUAUGUGGUCGACUCAUAUGAAGAUCAACGCUUAGCAAAGGAUGUGUAUUUACUGAACGAAUUCAUUGAUGUCAUGACACUUGUUGUUUACACUUUGGUGUUAACACACAGAGGGAGUACUACUAGUAUACCUUGCAACCAAAACGUGUCUAAAACUCAUUCAAAUGGUUUUUCCUUGCAUCUUGUUCCAACUUAAUACUAUCCAGUUUUAAAUUUAGUAUAUCAAAAGAUUCAAAACACCUUCCAAAAAUCGAAGGUAAAAAGCGCUCUCGAGAAUUUUUUUAAAGUUCUAUUUGACGACUUUUAUAUUGGUUUAGCUGUUGGUUUAUAGGUUCGCUUAUUUAUAUAGGGGCGCAUAGAUUAUGACGGUCAUCCAUCUCCAUACUUCAAGGCCAUUCCAUAAGUAAGUAGUCGACGUGACCAAGAAAUUGAAUAGUCAUAAAUACGUUGGAAAAAUAGAAAUUUCAAAAUAAUACUACUCGGUCAUAUUCGUCCUCGAUAAUACAUUGAAAUAAGUUUAUGGAUAGAGUUUAUGAAUAAAGAAUUCUGGACAGAGUUUAUGGAUAGAUCAAAGCAACUGUCGAAGAUAUGCUCCCGACCGGAUCUAUCAAUCAAGUGUUCUAAGUCCAAAAAAUUUUGUUCGUGCGACCCACAAAAAAAACAUUGAAGAUUCAAAAAACGAUUCUCUAGGUGCCCCGACAGAUUUAGACGCAAGAGAUUCUUUCGGAAGAAACGAGGCUUAAGGAAAUCAACAAAAUGCUUUCUAUGUCGAAAUGAAUGACAUUUUGCAAAAAACUGUCCGAACAAGUCAGCUAAAAAGAAGCAGUACUUAAUCAAUUCAAUAUCUGAAAUAGCACCAGAUAUUGAUCUCGAAGGCCACGAUUUAGAAUCAGUUCUAUCUUAUGAUAGUAACGACAACGAUGCCAUUUGUGGUUACUCAGAUUAUGACAACUCUUCUGAUUCAUCUGCCGAAGAAGAAAAUGAUUGCUGCUUCAAAAUUACAAAAAUGCCGCGACAUGACGACAUACAAACUCCUCAUCUACCAGUGAUGAUUUUAGACCCAUCUGGUCAAGAAGACCCGGUUCGCGCCAUUGCAUUCAUAGAUACCAGAGCCCACACAACGAUCAUUAAUCCCAAGAUUCUUUCUCCGUCGAUGUGGCUACCUCACCAGCAAGAAUUUCGAGUCGCUAACUCAGGUUCAUUGACAGUAAAGCUCAAGUCAAAACCUAUCAGAAUCGAACUUUUCUCCGGUUGUCAUAUUACUACGGAAGUCCUUGGCUCUACGGCACCUGGGAAAGAUCUAAUACUGGGAUGAGAUUCAUAUUAUGUCUUCAAGAAAAAAUUUGAUAUCUCUAUCGAACCGCACGGUUUAAAAUGGAGAAGUCUCUUCAAAGCAUUCACGUCAAUUCCACGACUUUUCGCAGUUGAAGGAUUAAUUUCUCAAGAAUUUACUAAGAUCAAGGAGAAGUUGACGGAGAUUUCUUGUGCAGACUCUCAUACAGAAUUCCUACAGAAGUGCAAUAACCCGCUGUGGUUAAAUUCGGAGUUCUUUGUUUCUUUGCCAUUCAAAGAAAACAUACAAACAACUCCGACUAAAGCGAGUCAUGCGGGAAUGCCACCAACCCUACUACAACAAGCGAAUGAAGAAUGCGACCAGCUAGUACAACAAGGAGUAGUCUCUGCAACCAACUCGCCAUGGGCAUGCAAAGCCUUUUACGUUAACAAUCGUGCAGAACAAGCAAGAGGGAAGCUAAGACUAGUCAUCGACUACAAACCACUGAAUCAGUAUCUACAAGAUAUCAAAUUUCCGCUACCAAACAAAAUGGCGCUUCUUCAACAUCUUCAAGGGGCAACUAUUUUCUCAAAAUUUGAUCUUAAGUCAGGAUUCUGGAAACUUGGCGUUCAUCCUGAAGAAAGAUACAAAACUACGUUCUGUCUUCCUAAUUGUCAUCUGCAGUGGAACGUCUUACCUUUUGGACUCAAGACCGCACCAUCAUUAUUCCAACAAGCGAUGCUUCGUAUAUUCAAGCCUCUACUUCAUACGGCCUUAAUUUAUAUUGAUGACAUAUUGCUGUUCUCGUCUACCGAAACCGAGCACAUUCAGCUUCUUCAGCAAUUUCAAAGCAUUGUCAUUCAAUAUAGAAUCAUGCUUUCGGCCCGAAAAAUGGUCAUAACCCAGCCCAAUAUCGACUUCCUUGGAAUGCAAAUUACAGAUGGCAACUUUACGCCUCAGGCCCAUCUGGCUACAAGGCUCUUAGAUUUUCCCGACGAAAAUCUCACAAAACGACAAGUCCAACAAUUCCUCGGUGUCAUCAAUUAUGUUAGCGACUUUAUCCCGUAACUUUCGCAGCUGACAAGACCCCUACAGAAAAUGCUUACGAAGAAUCCACCACAAUGGACAAACCGACAAACUGAAGCUGUCAGAAGCCUAAAAAUAGAGGUGCAGAAGCUACCGCCUUUAAAGAUUUCCUCCACUGGAACACGCAUUUUACAGACUGACGCGAGUGACAAAUAAUGUCAAAGCAUGGCAAUUAUUUUUCGAGUGCAUUACUUUUUAGGAUACUUUUUUUUAUCUUUUUGGACACUUUAGAACACAAUUCGCUGGAGGCACACUUUCAAAGAAUCCAAGAGAGAUGUUGGACAUUAAUACCCUUUUGUCCAAGGAAAGUACAAAAAAAAUAUAUUUGUUUUAUUCAGUUUAGUUAGUAGACAGAAUAUUUAGUUUCUUUUUUUAAUUAAGACUUACCUUCCGAUAUUAAUAUUUUAUUUGUUUUUAUUUGUUCUUUUCUCAGUUUUUUUGUUGUUUUAUUUUACAGCAAAAUUCUUAUUUUUUUGUUUUUUGUCAAAGUUUAAAAUAUUUAAAGAAAAUAUAAUCAUCACAGUAAAUUGUAAUUUGUUUUUCUCUAUAUUUUAACAUCCAUAUUCAUAUAUAUAUUUUAUAUAUAUUAACAAUUAUAUAAAAAAUGUAUGGACAUAAAAACUAUGGACGAAAAAUUAUGGACAAGUAAGAACAAAUACAUGAAAAAAAAGAUGUGGACAUGGAUAGAUACAAAAAUAUAAAAAAUCUUUUAAGAAGUUUCAUGGAUGUGUUUUCGUUGAUAACAUUCUUAUAUUUUCAAUCAUCUAUAAAAAAGUGGAUAUGGACACUUAGAUAAUAGAGUUAUAAACUAUAUGUGGACAUGGACAUCAAAGCUGGACACAAACACUAAAACGUUAACAUCCAUACUUUUCCCAAGUUUGGUCUAUAAUAAUUACAUAUGUUGACAUAGAUAUGAAAUACAAGACCAAGUGAAAGUAGAUAAACCACGUUUUGGAGUCUGGAUAGGAGGUGUCGAGCUGCAUCAUCCAUAGACUCUUAAUGGGUGGGAACAAGAUUGAUGUUUAGGACGUUGUUGUUGUGGACUACGUCAUAGACUUUUGAUGUGGUCAUGUAGUUAAAAUAUCUUGCUGCAUUAUCAUGAAUUCUUGUUGUGGUCAUGUCAAGUUUGGCCCAAAAAUCCAUCUAGUCAUAUAAUCAAAUUAUCGAUUCAGAGCACUAGUUGUGGAAAACCAAAAAAAAGAUAAAUAAAAAAUUGUUUUAAUUAAAGUCAAAGACUUUUACUUCUCAGAUCUCUAAUACAAAGAAGAAGUGUUCAACAUUUAAAUCCCAGAAAGAUUCUGAUAAAGAAAGGAAGUGAAAUUGGAAUCUGUAAAUGUCAAAAUUGAGCUCUUUGAAGCUAACCUUCACACCACGAGAGCUUGUCGUCUUCUUUUCCACAAUAGAGGCAUGACCUGUUCGUCGCCGCGUCAUCUCCGCACCGGAGCUCAGAUCUGCUGGCCGUCAUGUCAUCCUCUCCACAACAGAGCUUGGACAUGCUCGCCGUCACAUUGCCCUCUCCACACUGGAGCUCUCAGAUCUUCUCAUUAUCUCUCCCAUCCACAAAAUCUCAGAAAUUCGAUCCAAUUGGAAAAUUACAACAUAAACAAAAAAAAACAAAAAAAGUUAGGGAUUUCAAAAACUCUUUAAAGUAAAAAAGAGUUAAAGAAUUCAAAAUAUAAACUUCUGUUGUCGAUCUGCGAUGAAGAAGGUUGACUAUUGAGGUUCUCUUUCUUCUUCGACUUCGAUUUCGCCAUGGUUUCUCGAAGCUGAACGAGGUUCGGGGAUAGAUGAUGAAAAGGGAUCAUUGCAAUUAGAUUUUGAGAAACUAUGAAAGUGAUUUCAAUUUUUUGUCUCAAAAUAUGAAAGAUAAUGGAUGAAUUGUAUUUUACUAUGUUUCUUUAAUUGAGAUGUGUGUUCAAUUGGACAGAUUAUUGUUUUAUUUAAAAAAAAUUUAGUUACGAAAGAAAAAAUGUUAAGAAGAAACAAUAUUGGAGGUAUAAGAGACAAUCACGAGAGAGAAAGUGUACCUCCAGCAACAUGUGUUUGAUUGUGUAAAUUGAAAGUGGAAAUGUAUCUUAAAGCUUAAAAAUUUCUUAUUUUUCCCAACUCAUGCAGUGUCAUGUUACCAUAACUUAUCUCAUCAGUGGAUCCGCGCGACGUUACCCUACUUCUCCUACAAUUCCAGCACACGAUAGAAUAAAAAACAUUGCCACAAAUGGUCUAUGCCACGUAUGUAUUUAAGUGGGUCCCACAGUUAUCGAGGAUAAAUAAAUAAAACAAAACUAGUUCUCUUCAAUCUAACUCCUCAAUAUAUAUAACAAAAUCCACACAUUAAAGUUUGCCUCACAGAUAUCUUCCUCUCUACUUUUUCGCCACCAUCUCUCCCUCUCCUUACCUCUCUCUCUCUCUCUAAAGCUGUGUAAGAUUCAGACUAUGUUUGGAAAAAACUGGACUCAAGUGGCUAUGUCUGACGACUCGUUGGUGGCCGACGCGCUGCUCCUGCUCCGCC